CAGUAGGGAGGAAGGUAGUGUAGUUAACACCUGCAUUAUUUGACGUUUACCUACAGAAGAAGCACCGGCUAACUCCGUGCCAGCAGCCGCGGUAAUACGGAGGGUGCGAGCGUUAAUCGGAAUUACUGGGCGUAAAGCGCAUGCAGGCGGCCUGUUAAGUCAGAUGUGAAAGACCCGGGGCGUUAACCUCCGGAAUUGCAUUUGAAACUGGCAGGCUAGAGUCUUGUAGAGGGGGGUAGGAAGUUUCAGGUGUAGCGGUGAAAUGCGUAGAGAUCUGAAGGAAUACCAGUGGCGAAGGCGGCCCCCUCGGACAAAGACUGACGCUCAGAUGCGAAAGCGUGGGGAGCAAACAGGAUUAGAUACCCUGGUAG
rnacentral:rRNA from 1 species